AUGCAGCUGCUCCUGCGCUGUGGCUCUCUCCUCCGUCUCUACGAGUGUAGCGGUGGGCUUCCAAGAACAAAUUACAGUUGUAGAAAAUUAGUGCUUCCAAUACUAAACGUGAUGAGUGAGAGGACGCGGAUUACCUAUUCACGUAGAGCUGUCUCUAAGAACAGUGAGAUCAAGAAAGAUGAACAAACAGUCAUAGAAAAGGAAGAUGACACUGAAAGCACAUUGGAGAUAGAGCGAAUCAGAGGUGACCCUAGUAUGCUCCAAUCCAUGACAGUGAAAGAACUCAAGGAACUCACAAGGACGAUGGGAGUUGCUGCGAGAGGUAACAAGAAAGAUUUGGUAUCAGCUCUGAUGGAAUCUCUGGGUGAGGAAGUAAUUGGUAAAGAGGGAGCAUCAACCAUUGAGCAGAUUGGCCCAUCAGAAGUACCUUCAAAAAGAAAAGGUGCCGCUUCAGUAGUGGUUGAACAAAAGCUAGAAACUUCUGAAGUUAUUUCCGCAACUCCUAGCAAGAGAAGUAGAACCAAGCAGAAAUCAAUUAAGGGCACCACUCCGGAGGAGAACCCUGUGACUACUGUCAAGAUAAAUAAAACAUCACACAAGAAGGAAACAGUUGUUGCCAAUGGUGCUAUUGCAAAGGCGGGGUUGGGUCUUAAUGUGGAUGGUGCAGAGCCUUGGACUGUACUUGUACACAAGAAGCCACAGGCUGAGUGGAUUCCAUACAAUCCUAAGGUCAUGAGGCCUCCACCCCUUAGCAAGGAUACAAGGGCACUAAAGAUUCUAUCAUGGAAUGUCAAUGGACUGAAAGCUCUAGUAAAAAAUAGGGGCUUCUCCGUUCAUGAGUUAGCACAGAGGGAGGAUUUUGAUGUGCUAUGCCUGCAAGAAACGAAAAUUCAGGAGAAAGAUGUUGACGUCAUCAAGGAAAGUCUACUUGAAGGGUAUACCAAUAGUUUCUGGACAUGUAGUGUGUCAAAGCUUGGAUAUUCAGGGACUGCCAUAAUUUCACGGGUGAAACCACUUUCUAUCAAGUAUGGGCUUGGUGUACCAGACCAUGAUACAGAAGGGAGGAUUGUGACAGUGGAAUUUGAUGAUUUUUACUUGCUAACCGCUUAUGUGCCAAAUUCCGGUGAUGGUCUCAAAAGAUUGACUUACAGAGUCACAGAGUGGGAUCCAUGCCUUGGUAACUACAUGAAAGAAUUGGAAAAAUCGAAACCUGUCAUACUAACUGGUGAUCUUAACUGUGCGCAUCAGGAGAUUGAUAUACAUGAUCCUGCUGGAAAUAGUAGAAGUGCCGGCUUCACAAAAGAAGAAAGGAAAUCGUUCGAGACUAAUUUUCUGUCCAAAGGGUUCGUGGAUACGUUUCGGAAACAGCACCCUGAUGUUGUUGGAUAUAGCUACUGGGGUUAUAGGCAUAAUUGCCGGAAGACUAAUAGAGGUUGGCGCCUGGAUUACUUUCUUGUGUCGGAGUCCAUCGCGGAAAGAGUCCACGAUUCAUACAUCCUUCCCGACGUUUCUGCCAGUGACCACAGCCCGCUCGGCCUCAUACUGAAGCUCUAA
rnacentral:rRNA from 1 species